rnacentral:rRNA from 1 species
CUGCGAAUGGCUCAUUAAAACAGUUAUAGUUUAUUUGAUAGUUGAAUGCUACAUGGAUAACCGUGGUAAUUCUAGAGCUAAUACAUGCGUAAAAACCUGACUUCUUGAAAGGUUGUAUUUAUUAGAUUACAAACCAAUAUUCCUUCGGGUCUAUUGUGAUGAUUCAUAAUAACUGAUCGGAGCGAACGCAGUUCGCUAAAUCAUUCAAGUUUCUGCCCUAUCAGCUUUCGAAGGUAGUGUAUUGGACUACCUUGGCAGUCACGGGUAACGGGGAAUUAGGGUUCGAUUCCGGAGAGGGAGCCUGAGAAACGGCUACCACUUCUAAGGAAGGCAGCAGGCGCGUAAAUUACCCAAUCCUGACUCAGGGAGGUAGUGACAAGAAAUAACAACUCGGGGCCUCACGGCUCACGGGAUUGCAAUGAGAACAAUUUAAAACACUUAACGAGGAACAAUU